GUACUUGCCUUUCACAAACACCUAAUUCUUUUCACCUUCGCGGAAUCCUGCGGGAAUAGCUCGAUAAUCGAUUACAUGCAAAAACUUGAUAGUGGGGGAAAGAAAGAGAAAAAGGUGAAAAGAAAAAAGGAGAAAAGAGUAUGAAGAAAGAAGAAAAAGAUAAAAAAAGAAAGAAUGAGGAAGACAUAAUUUAUUCUUGAUGGGCAAAUUUCCCGAUAUUGUAGUAUUUAAUCCCCUUC
rnacentral:lncRNA from 1 species